rnacentral:rRNA from 1 species
GACGGAGGAGGCAAGCGUUAUCCGGAAUCAUUGGGCGUAAAGCGUCCGUAGGUGGCUUGGUAAGUCGGCUGUCAAAUCACAUGGCUCAACCAUGUAACGGCAGUGGAAACUGCUAGGCUAGAGUGCGGUAGGGGUAGCGGGAAUUCCCGGUGUAGCGGUGAAAUGCGUAGAUACUGGGAAGAACAUCGGUGGCGAAAGCGCGCUACUGGGUCGCAACUGACACUGAGGGACGAAAGCUAGGGGAGCGACUGGG